ensembl:snRNA U6 U6 spliceosomal RNA
GUGCUCGUUUUGGCAGUACAUAUUUAAAUUGGAAUGAUACAGGGAAGAUUAGCAUGGUCCCUGCACAAGGAUGACAUGCAAAUUCGUGAAGUGUUCUAUACUACA